GCAAGGCCUUGGGGCAAGGGUGACCUUACGAAUCGUGUCAGGUCCGGAAGGAAGCAGCACUAAGUAUGAGUGACUUUGUGCUCCAAGUUGAUAUGAUUUU
rfam:Lactobacillus mixtipabuli DNA, scaffold: sequence08, strain: IWT30.